UGGGGAAUCUUGCGCAAUGGUCGAGAGACUGACGCAGCGACGCCGCGUGCGGGAGGACGCCCUUCGGGGUGUAAACCGCUGUUACCCGGGACGAAACACGGAUUCAUUCCGUUUGACGGUACCGGGGGAGGAAGCACCGGCUAACUCUGUGCCAGCAGCCGCGGUAAUACAGAGGGUGCGAGCGUUGUCCGGAAUCACUGGGCGUAAAGGGCGCGUAGGCGGGCGAUCAAGCGUGCGGUGAAAGCUCGGGGCUCAACUCCGAGUCGGCCGUGCGAACUGGUUGUCUAGAGUCUGGUAGAGGUCGAUGGAAUUCCGGGUGUAGCGGUGGAAUGCGUAGAGAUCCGGAAGAACACCGGUGGCGAAGGCGGUCGACUGGGCCAGUACUGACGCUGAUGCGCGACAGCGUGGGGAGCAAACAG
rnacentral:rRNA from 1 species